rnacentral:rRNA from 1 species
UACGUAGGGUGCAAGCGUUUGUCCGGAAUUAUUGGGCGUAAAGAGCUCGUAGGCGGUCUGUCGCGUCGGCUGUGAAAACUCGGGGCUCAACCCCGAGCCUGCAGUCGAUACGGGCAGACUAGAGUGCUGUAGGGGAGACUGGAAUUCCUGGUGUAGCGGUGGAAUGCGCAGAUAUCAGGAGGAACACCGAUGGCGAAGGCAGUUCUCUGGGCCGUAACUGACGCUGAGGAGCGAAAGCGUGGGGAGCGAACAGG